GGUUGUGGUGGAAUCUUUUUUAUAUACAACUAGAUUAACAAGUUGUCAACUCUUUCCAUCGAAUUAUUGAGUUUUUUUUUUUUUUUUUUGUUAAUAAGUUUAACAUGAAUCAUACAGUUAGCUUAGUGGUCCUGACCUUAAUGAUACAUUGAUAUUUAUAUAUACAAACCUAUAAUUUUCCUUUUUUAAUUUGUAUUUGCAUUUACAUGUUAUAAUCUACUUGAAAAUAUCUCUCAGUGGGAACUGACAAUAUGACUAUACAUGAUGAAGAAGAGAACUUAUUUGGAGGUUUCUGCAUGCAUGUCAUUUGUUGAAGUUAGAAAAUGAUUCAAGAAGAUGAGGAAAAAUAUUUCUGAACCGGAAGUGUGAAACUAUAUAUGUUGGGCGAACUGGUACAAAUCAAAGAGAGUACUUUUGUAAAAGAUGUAUCAUCUAUCUUCAUUCCCUUUAAUUACUGAAAAACCAAUGAAGUAAUAAUAUAUUAUAGGAAAAUAUGUUAAUCUUGGUCUUGUAAAAGAUGUAUCAUUUAUACUUAUACGUACAUUCAAUAAAAUGCUACUUAAUUUAUAUAUACGAAUAUUAAAAUUAUUAAAAAUACUACUUGGCAAUUUAUAUAUAUAUAUUAAGAAUUAAACUUCGUUUUCGAUUUUGUCAAGAAAAGAAAAAACGUGAAAGUUGUUGUCUGGGUCGUGUGGUCGGAGAGAAGCGCAGGUUCGACGUCGUCUUCAAUCGUCAAUAAUGAGUAUUAUUUUCCAGUUUUAUAAUCUUAUCCAAAUCAUAUAUUUCUAAUAGUGUACACAUUACACAAAUAGUUUAUCUACAGUUUUUCUUAUUAUCUAUCUAAAAAUACCAAAUAAUUAAGUCCAUAUAUACUCCAUAGACUCGACUUUAUUCUCUGAAACACACUUAGUGAAAGCGAGCUAUAUCUUUAUAUAUUUGAUGAUAGAUGUUAUGUUUUCCAUUUAUUUCAUUGUAUAAAACGUAUAACAUGUCUGUUUUUCAAGAUAAUUUCUCGUGUUAUCUUUUGUCCGUUUAUUCUUUAUAUACUUCUAAUUACUAUACGUGGUAAAUCGCUAAAGACUCUUUGACUAUAAAACUUUCAAUAUUAAUGUAAAAGCAUUAUACAGAAAGAAAUAAAAAAAUCAUAUGAACUUAUGAACCCUUAAAAAUAAGAAACAAAAAGUCACAAGAACGAAGAGAGAACACGUGUUUGAUACAAGAGACAGCCAAAUUGGAUCAGAUCCGGUCGGAGAAAGGACAAGUAUUCCUAGGCCCAUUGAGAGAGACAAGAUCGCCGUUCAAUAGAUUCUUCUUCUUCGAUCAAUCACUUUGGUGGGCGUAAUGACUAAUGAGCUACUACGUCUUACUUACCAACUACGUACGUGUCUAUGUUGGUUUCUUGAUGUUAACCAAACUUAUUAUGGUCGUACGUAGUUUGCAAUCUCUAUAUAGUAUAUACUAAUGUAAUAUACAAAAACACAAGAUUGUAUCCAUUUUAUUUACAUAUGUGGGUUAUGUAAUUUACAUGCGACGGUUAAGCUCUUAAUCUUGGAAACGAUUAAAAAAAAAGAAUAUCAAACAAACAAAAGAUUAUAUAUAGUAGAACAAGUUGUAUUAAAAAGCUGUCUGUUUGAUCACCUCAAGAGUUGAGUUUUUUUGCGACCGUUAGAUCUCUCUCGCUACAUGAAUCCAACGUAUAUGAACUGUUAUGUUACAAAUAAGUUUGAAAAGUACUGAAUGAUCUGUCAGAUGUAAUGGCUGAGUUGGAACUUACCUUUAAUCCACAGUGUGACAUUUGUCAAUUUUCAACCAAUACAAAACCAACUGGAUGAUCCUUUUUACUGUUUUUUUUUUGUCUAUAUAGUUCUUUUUUUUUAAUUAAAAACUAGGUCCGGAUCCGCGCUACAGCGCGGAGGAAAAUUACCGGAUUUUUAGUCCUUUGUACGUUGCGAGAUAAUUUUAUUUGUGUUUGCUUUACUUUAUUUUGAUCAGUAAUUAAAUUUUAUCAUUUUUAGAUUGUAUGUGUUGGUUUCGAAUAUGUUCAAAAUUAUUUAAAUUGUAUGAUUUUAGUUGGAUUGUUAAUUUUAGAACAAUAUGUGACAUAUAUACAUGUAUAAAUAUUAUACAAUGAAAAAAAAAUAUUAUACAGUGAAUCAUUUUUAAAAUUUAGGGAUUGACACGCGGUACACCGCAUAAUUAUAAAUACAUGAUUUUAACUUGGACUUUUCAUGCAGUUUUGUAAAGUUGCAAAUCUUUAGAAUAAACAAAUAAAGAGCCAAUGAUUUCUUAUUUCUUAUCGUGUUUAAAUGUAAAAUCUGUGUUGAUGUUACAAUUUUCUGGUAGCAAAAACUUAUUUAUAUAGAUCAUAUUUUCUUAGGGUUAAAUUGAAAAAAGAUUAGUUUUAUAAUCAAGCCAGAAAUUCGAAACUAUUGCCAAAUAAAUAUUAAAGAUGGUCAUAGAGAAAAAAAUAUAUAUUAAAGAUGGUUGAAAAUGAAAUAUACCGUAACUGGUGUGAAAAUCAUAGUUAAUAUAGGAGAAAACUAUACAUCCAAAUAUCAAUAUAGUAUAUUUAAGGAAGAUUUUGUUUUGAAAUAUUAUGGAUAAUUUGAUAAUGAUUAUUUUAUAUUUAAUUUAUAUUUCUGAUUUUUAGAUUAAUUUGUUAAACCAAUAUACAAAAUCAUACAUUAAUGUAUUUUUCCUUAAACAAAUUAAGAUUAAUGUACUUUCCCAAACCGAUAUUGAUGGUUUAAUUUGGUAGAUUUCGAAAUAAUAUAUAUGGAAACUGGUAUUUAAUAUCCUUAAAUUUUUAGUAAGAUCCAACUGAAAAUUCCGGGUUAAAUUUUUUUUUUAAAACCCGACCCAAGAAGCAUUUGUACUUCUCUUUUACUAUAGUAGGGAUUUAAUUAAACCGUAUAAGAUAUAGACAAUUACGACGCAACAAUAUUUAAACCCCAGAUUUUGAUAGUUCUUCUUCUUGUAACCAAAUCCGAGUUUUGGCGAGUUCUAUGUGUGUUAUGUACUUAUUAAUCAAUGUAAUUGUGUAAGAAUAUGUGCCAUACACAGCCGAAUCUUAUGUUAAACUACAAUUUCAUAUAGUUUUAUAUUUAUAAGAUAUAUAUAUGUACACCAAUAAUAUAUAUGUAUAAGUAUUUCAUGAUUAUUAUAAAAAAUAUCACAGUAUUUCUAAACUUCAUUGUACUUAACACAAUUAAAAAAUCAAAACAAUUUUUUCUUCUAGAUCAUAUGAUCUUUAUAUAAGCUAUAAUGCAUAUAUUCAUAAAAAUAAAUAAUUAAUACAUACAUAUAUAAAUAUAAUAUAUAUAUAUAUAAAUAUAAUAUAUAUAUAUAUAUAUAUAUAUAUAUAUUUACCAAAAUGUGUGUAUAUAUAUAUGAAUGAAGUUAUUAUUAUUAUUUUAUUUUGAUAGAUUAUUUAUAUUUGUUAAUUGAAUGAGCGUUCAUUGUACAUGAUAUUUAUAAGAGAACUAGAAUCGGACCCGCGCUACAGCGCGGGGGAAUUUUGUUAGAAUAUAAAAUGUACAAAUUUUACUAUAUUAUUAUGUUAUUUAAAAAAAAAAAUAUUAACAUAACAGUAUUUAUUAAAUUUAAAAUAUUGUUUAAUGUGUAUAGAUAUAUACACACAUUAUAUAUCAUGAAAGAAAAAAGGAGUUUAGAAUGUAUUCAAAUUGGUUUAUAUCUAUCUAUAUAUACAUUUUUGAAGUACAUUUUGUGUUAAAAUCAUUUUUUUGCAAUCGAUUUUCAAAAAUUCAAUGUCUUAAACACUAUUAAUCCCAAGUUAUUAAGGUUAACUUCGUAAAUAUGUAUUCUGUAUCGGUACAAAAUUAAACUUACGACCUAAAAUCACAAAUCGGAUCCUCGUUUAUUAUUUUUUUUAAUUAAAAAUAAAAAUAAUAUUCCUAUAUAUUAAUGGUAAUAUUUUGGUAGUUGCAAAAGAAAAUAAAAACCAAUUAAAUAUUGAUUACGAAUAUUUCACUAACUCAUUUAAACUUAAAUGAUUUAUUAUUUCUAGCUCAAAAUAUUUCAAUCUGAAAAUAAAUGUAGUUACUUUAUUUUGUUUUUGGUUAAAGACUUCAUGGUAAAUCCCGUUUAUACUUUAUUUUCCUACACAAAAUCUGAUUUUUUUUUUUUCCUUUUUCUUUUGGAAGCUGUGUUCAAUAAUGGACAGAAAAAAUCAGAAACUCAAUCGACAAAUUCCAGAAUUUUUACUAAAAUUCGCUUUCUUUCAUGUUUCCUUGAAGAUUUAACGAUUUAACACCUUCCAAUCUUUAAAUCAUUGUCUUCUUAAUUCUAUUAUUCUAAAACCAAAGAAGCAAGAUGAUUUAUACUCAAAUCAGAUCCUGGGAAAGCGUUUUUUUUCAAACGAAGAUGCAAUUGCGUUGAAGAGUUCAAAUGAAGUUAAGUUCAUGAUGAAUAUGAUGAUAUAUAUAGCAUUUUGUAAGAAUUUUAGGGUUCAGAGUAUAUUCAAAUAAAUAUUCAUGGAAAUUUGGUCGUAUAUAAAUUUUAUAUAUUUUAAAUAUGGUUCAUAUUUCCAUAGUUAAGUAGAUAAUUAAACAAAACCCGUUAAGAUUAUGUAAACAAUACUAAUUUUUGGAUAGCAUUUAAUAAAAUUUUGAAAUGAAUAACAAAUAUAAUUGCAAAGAUUACGGAGUAGUUUACAUAUUAGAAUUGACGUUUUUUUAGUUAAUGAUUACAACUAUUUCCUAACAAUUCGCUUUUGUUAAUCACCCUUAAAAGUUUCAUAUUUAACUUUAAAAUUAUUUUCUAAAAAUACGAUUGUAUAAUUAUUAUAGUUACCUAAAUUAGUGGAAUAUUUAGCAUCGCAUUUAAACGGCAGAAUAACUGAUUUUUGUAAGCUAAUGAUGCUAAUAGUCAAUACUAAUACUCUCGCAGUUUAAUAAUUAAUGGAUAAUAUCCAUACCCGAUUUUUAACCCGAUUUCUAAGUAUCCAAUUUUAAAUUUCGGAUCAUUUUUUAAAUAUAACCCGACCCGGAAGUAUUUUUUGUACUUCUCUUUUACUAAUAUAGGGAUGUGAAUAAAUUUUAAAAUUUUAAUAAUUUAAUGGACUAUAUAUGACAAAUAAGAUAUCAUUUAUAACAUUUGUAAUUGUAUGCAUAUAAAAUUCAUUUUAAUAUAUUUAAUUUAUUUUAAUCUCAGUCAUUACAUUUGAAAAGCGGAAUUUUAGCAACAUGAUAUAGUGGCGUAUCAACCUUAAUUACAUAAAUUUACUAGUCGGUUGCCCGCGCUACGCGCGGGAGUUUAUUAUAUUGUUUAUGAGUAAUUGGUUCGUAUUUUAUUUCCUACUUAUUUUUUCACUAUACCAUACUUUACUUUUUUAAAACUUAAAUUGUGUUUGUAUAGAAAAACUAUUGAGUUUUAACUUCAUUAGUCGUUAAGAAAUUAAGUGUGUAUAGUAUAAGUCGAAGUGUGAGCGUAAAUGGAAGUGCGGUUGAGAAUCAUUGAUAAACGUGUGCUAUUAGGGUUUUUACCAAAUAUAGAUCUAGAUGUUAAUAUUUUGGGCCCUUUUAUAUGUUGACAUGAAAUUUGAACAUGAUUUGUGGGUUUCGGGCGGAUUGUUGUAUUUUAAUUGUUUGCAUUAUCUCUUUAUAUAUGGUCAUAAUUUAUUAUUUUUUGUUUUUUGUUUUUUUUUGGAUUUGUCGUACUUUAUAUCUCGUAAUGAUCAUUUAUAUACUAUUAUAUUUUUCUGAUUUAAUGUUUUAUAUAUUUUUUUUUGUUUUUUCAUAUGGAACAAUUUUUAAAUUUAAUAUAUUAGUAUAAUUUACUUUAUAUUUAGUUUAUUUCAUUUAAUACUGUUUUAUUUUAAUUUUCAAUUUUAUGAAAUAUAGUUAAUUUUUUAUUUUGUUUAUUAGCUUAACAUAUGUGUUGUAUUGGAAACAAAUAGUUAAAUUUCAUAUUGGAAACUUUUAAAGAAAUAUUAUUUUUAUUUUUACCUUUUUAUAUGUUUAUAAAAAUAAGAAUUCAUGUUUCGGUCCGACCUAUCUCACUUAUGUUAGAAAAUGUUUUGAGACAUAAAUUAGAUUAAUUUAUACUCUCAAAAUUUCUUACUUUUUGUUUUAUUCCCGUUAAAUCCCAUUGUAUUUAGGUUUACAUUGUGUAAAAAUAAGCAUAUAUAUAUUUUAAACAUUCACUAAAAACUAUAAUCUAUUAUUUAUAUAUUUGUUAGUAUAAUCUAUAAUUAGUAAGUUUUUUUAACUCUUAAUCAGUUAUCUUUUUUAGUUUUAUAAUGUAUAAUAUAUUAAAAAGACCUUUCAUAUUCAUUUUGGAAAAACUUAUUUACAUAGGUUUAAAUAUUAAAAUUAAAUGAUAAAAUGGUAUAAUUAAUUUUAAAAAUUAAAUAAUAAAAUGAGGUGGAUGAUAAUGUGGCUUAAGGAGAAGAGAGAAAAAGUUAACUUUAUAUAUAUAGAUGACAUAAGAAAACCCAUUGGCAUAUUAGCAGCCUUAAUGACAUAAGUAUCUCGAAGACAUACAUUAAAAGCUUUCAUACAUGUGAUGUUGUUAUAUCUAUGUAUUUUCUGUUUUUUUAGCCACACUCAUGUGAUCCCGAGCAUAAACGAUUUUAAAGGUAGGGAAUUGAAUAAUCAUUUUAUCAUUGAUUACAUGUGAUUUGUGCAUGUCGAUCGGUCAUUCCCACUCUCACAUGUUUGUAGGCAUUAGUGUGCAAGAAAGUUCUCAUCUGACUUUUUCAGCAGUGACCUUGCUAGAUGGAGCGGCUACCUUCUUGAUAGAUGGAGCAUAAACAAUCUUUAUAAGAAUUAUGAUUGAGAGACAAAACAACAACAACAAGAUUCGAGGGACAAAACAAUAGAAUUGAGAAUUGAGAAAUCUUUUUAAGGAAUGAGGUAAGUCAUCAAAAAUGAGAUAAAGGCAAAUGAAUGAUGAAAUAGAAGCAAAGGAGAUCAAAAGAGGAAAUGAAAGAUUUAAUAUACUUUUUAAUAAUUUAGGAAAGAAUUUGUAUGAUUUUGAAAUGCAUUUCAUAUCCAGUAUAUAAUUUAAGUUGAAAUAUUAUUAUGAUAAAUUUAGUACUAAUUUUUAAUUCAAACUUUCUAUCUAGUUUGUCUAAAUUUACUGAAAGACAUCAUGUAUAUAUAUAUAUAUAAAUUAAGUAUACAAUCAAUAAUAUGUAUUUCAGUUCUAUAAGAGUUGUUGGGAAAUUUUUUUUAUUAGAGUUAAUUAUUGAAAAUAUAAUUUUAUUAACUAAUAAAUUAUUAUCCGUCAAAUAAAUAAGAGACUAUGCAAAGAUAAAAAAACAUUGUUGUUCCAUUCCGGUAGAUAAAUAAGAGAUUUGUUGAAAUGACCGAAUUUUGAUCCAUCCUAAUUAGUCAUUUUGUACACUAAAGAAUGUAGUUUUGAAAAUAGAUAAUAAAAGGAAUAUUUUAAAAUAAUAAUAAAAUAGAAAAAGGCAUUUGCAAAAAAUCUCUUUUUCAAAACUAUAUGAGCUCACAAAAAGAAUUAUACAUAUAUAUAUAAGCGAUUCCAAUAUUUUAUAUAAAAAUAAUUUAUAGUUAUUCAAUCAUUUUGAUUAUAUAUGUCCUUUAUUGUUUGUUAAAAAUGGUAAAAUGAAGAUUUUGUAUUUCUCAUUGAGAGAUUUUAGAAAUUUUGUUAAAUGUGAUUAAAUCCAUAUUUUGAAUAAAUAAUUAAUGUUAAUGGCAUACCAUUGUAAAUAAGUUUUUUUUCUCAAAAACUAUUGCAAAAAUGUUAAUAUAGAUAGAUGUACGAGACGUGAAAUUUUUGAAGUCUCUCAAUCCAAACUAGAAAAGUCUUAGACCAAUGACAACAUUUGCUCGAAUAUCUAAUGAAAUACACAUAUAGUCACUUUAGUGUGAUUUUUUGUUUUACUACCAGUAAUAUCCAAUCAUAACAUGUGGCCACAUUUUGUCAUAAUGACAUGCAAUAUUUUAGUUGGCCUCCUACUUAAACUUAAACCAAAUGGGUCUUAAUAAUGGACUUUGGAUCGGAGAACCACUUAUUAUGGCACAACAAAUCAGUAAACCUGUUAAUGCACUCGUACCAAGAUACAGCUACUCUCAUCACAUCGCAACCACCAGAAGCAGCCUUCUAAAGUCUUAUCACUAGAGAGCACCGGACUAGACUCAUAAACUAUAUACCCCAAAGACUUGAUUUAUACAGCCUUUUUAAAUUUCUUGGUUGGCUUAAAACUAUACGUUAGAAUGACAAAUGAAUUACAAUUAUAUAUUUUCAUCUAAUCAAAGACCCUCUUGGAUAUAUAAAACUGUAAGCCACAUAUAGCAAAAUCUUAUCCCUAGCUACGUCGUUAUACAUACAAAAAUUCACAAAUUUGAUUAUAUAACUUUCGUUGUUAUCUAUUGUAGUAGACAUAGACAUAAUAUUUAAAUGGUCAAUCAUUGUCUCCGUCUUGUAGUUUAGCAUAUGUAUGGAUUACAUAGUUCUAUUUGGUUACCCUCUCACAAGCAUAAGCGUCGUCUCGCCCAAACUUAGACACUAUUCAAUUAUUCAUACACAAACGUACAUAUACGUAUAUUUAUACGUAGACAUUUAAAACUAUAAAAACAAAGAAAAAGACAAAAGUCGGCAAACCAAUUAGCAUGAAAUAAUAACCAUUAAAAAAAAAAAAAAAAACCCACCACAGAGUGGUUUGAUAACAAAGAAAGCUCAUCAAGAACCUUAAAAAGGUUCUGUUGCAGAGGUUCCGACCAAAAGCCAGUUUCAUCUUUAUGUGAUCAGAGACAGAAAGAUAUGGUGGGAGAAGAUUUAAACCAGAUUGGUGGUAAUAGUAAUUACAAUGGAGAAAGAGACCCAGAGAACAACACACUCAACCAACCUCUGGUUAAGGCUAAUCGAACUCUUUCUUCAACUCCACUUGCUUUGGUCGGUGCCAAGGUUUCCCAUAUCGAGAGCUUGGACUAUGAGUAUGUCUUCUUCUUCUUCUUCUUCUUCCUCUUCUUCUCUGCAUAAUCUUGAAUUUAGGGUCUCUGUUCUUAUUGUUUUGAUAAAAUUUUUGACAGAAUAAACGAGAAUGAUCUGUUUAAGCAUGAUUGGAGAAAAAGAUCAAAGGCACAAGUACUUCAAUACGUGUUCUUGAAAUGGACAUUAGCUUGUCUUGUUGGUCUUUUCACUGGUCUAAUCGCCACUCUCAUAAACUUAGCUGUCGAAAACAUAGCUGGCUACAAGCUUCUUGCCGUCGGCCACUUCCUCACCCAAGAAAGGUAAAAAACAAAGCUUUAUCUAUGAAUUCAAAACAUUCAGUUUCUUUAGUGUAUGAUUGGAUUAUAAUGUCUUGUGUGGGGGAAACAGAUAUGUUACAGGUCUCAUGGUGCUUGCUGGAGCAAAUUUGGGACUUACCUUGGUGGCGUCUGUGCUUUGUGUGUGUUUUGCUCCCACGGCGGCUGGUCCUGGAAUUCCUGAGAUCAAAGCUUAUCUUAAUGGUGUUGAUACUCCCAACAUGUUUGGUGCUACCACUAUGAUCGUUAAGGUUUGUUUCUGAAUUUGUGAAGAAUUUUUCAGAAGAUAUAAUAUGAAUGAGUUUGAUUUUUGACUCACGGGUUUUUGCGGGGUUUCAUAGAUCAUUGGAAGCAUAGGAGCGGUUGCAGCUGGACUUGAUCUUGGUAAAGAAGGUCCUCUGGUUCACAUUGGAAGCUGCAUAGCUUCUUUGCUUGGACAAGGUGGAACAGACAACCACCGAAUCAAGUGGCGAUGGCUUCGUUACUUCAACAAUGAUAGAGACCGCAGGGAUCUGAUUACAUGUGGCUCAGCUGCUGGAGUAUGUGCAGCCUUCAGGUCACCUGUUGGAGGUGUGCUUUUUGCCCUUGAGGAAGUUGCCACUUGGUGGAGAAGUGCCUUACUGUGGAGGACUUUCUUCAGCACAGCAGUGGUUGUGGUUAUUCUGAGAGAGUUCAUAGAGAUCUGCAAUUCAGGGAAGUGUGGCUUAUUUGGAAGAGGAGGGCUUAUCAUGUUUGAUGUGAGUCAUGUAACUUAUACUUACCAUGUAACUGACAUCAUCCCUGUCAUGUUGAUUGGUGUAAUUGGUGGAAUUCUUGGGAGCCUCUACAAUCACUUUCUGCAUAAAGUUCUCCGGCUUUACAAUCUGAUCAACGAGUAAGUUCCAAGAAAAACAUAGUGAAACACUUUUGAUUAAAACCUUAUUAGCUAGUUACUUACCUUGUUUGGUCACAUUGCAGGAAGGGUAAGAUCCACAAGGUGCUUCUCAGUCUUACAGUAUCACUCUUCACAUCAGUUUGCCUUUAUGGCCUUCCUUUCCUGGCUAAAUGCAAGCCGUGUGAUCCCUCGAUAGAUGAGAUAUGCCCGACGAAUGGAAGAUCGGGCAACUUCAAACAGUUCCAUUGUCCAAAAGGUUACUACAACGAUCUGGCUACUCUGCUUCUCACCACCAACGAUGAUGCUGUCAGAAACCUUUUCUCUUCCAACACUCCUAAUGAGUAUGGGAUGGGCUCCCUGUGGAUAUUCUUUGUCCUCUACUGCAUCUUGGGGCUUUUCACAUUUGGUAUUGCAACACCAUCUGGUCUUUUCCUCCCCAUCAUCCUUAUGGGUGCUGCAUAUGGCCGUAUGCUUGGUGCUGCAAUGGGUUCCUACACAAGUAUUGACCAAGGGCUUUAUGCUGUACUUGGUGCAGCUGCACUCAUGGCUGGAUCGAUGAGAAUGACUGUGUCACUCUGUGUUAUAUUCCUUGAACUUACCAACAACCUUCUUUUGCUUCCCAUUACAAUGAUUGUGCUUCUGAUUGCCAAAACUGUGGGAGACAGCUUCAACCCAAGUAUCUAUGACAUCAUAUUGCAUCUAAAGGGCUUACCUUUCUUAGAAGCAAAUCCAGAGCCAUGGAUGAGGAACCUCAGCGUUGGUGAGCUUGGUGAUGCUAAACCCCCAGUUGUAACCCUGCAAGGCGUAGAAAGGGUUUCUAAAAUAGUUGAUGUGCUAAGGAACACGACGCAUAAUGCAUUCCCUGUUUUAGAUGAAGCAGAAGUACCUCAAGUGGGUUUAGCAACCGGGGCAACAGAACUCCACGGGCUAAUCCUGAGAGCACACCUCGUUAAAGUUCUGAAAAAGAGAUGGUUCUUGACAGAGAAAAGAAGAACAGAGGAGUGGGAGGUCAGGGAAAAGUUUCCAUGGGAUGAAUUGGCUGAAAGAGAAGACAACUUCGACGACGUAGCCAUCACAAGCUCUGAAAUGGAAAUGUUUGUUGAUCUUCAUCCUCUUACCAACACAACCCCUUACACAGUCAUGGAGAACAUGUCUGUGGCCAAGGCUUUAGUACUAUUCCGGCAAGUGGGACUCCGCCAUUUGCUAAUUGUUCCCAAGAUUCAAGCCUCAGGAGUGAGUUUAUGCCUUCAACUCUCUUUUACUUUCCUGCUUACUAAAACCUAUAAACAAAUCUAAUACUUCUGUUGCUAUUCAAUUUCUUUUGCAGAUGUGUCCUGUGGUAGGGAUCUUAACCAGGCAGGAUCUAAGGGCACACAACAUUCUACAAGCCUUUCCUCACUUGGAAAAAUCCAAAGGUAGAAAAGCCCAAUGAAGAUUUACAUACUUUGUUUACCUGUGUUGUAAAAAAUGACUUGCAGCCUUGUGUUUUUUGUUCCCAUUCUUGAAGAUGUAUCUGUCCAGUUUUGCACAUUCUCUUCAUAUCCAACAGAAGUUGAUAAGAUAAAUAUUACACACAUCUCUUUUACUACUUGCAAUGACACAAAGAACGAAAGAACCAUAUCUCUUUAUCAACAGAAGCAGAGCAAAGCUGUUUUCUCAUCCAUUAGAUGGUCUUCUAAACUUUUGAAGUUCUAAAGUUACAGAUAUUAACUAAUAAGAGUCCUGUGGUUCUACUUAGGAGCACACACUUUCUUUAUUCCCCGAUUUCUUCUUUUUCUUGAUAGGAACCCUUCUUUUGAACACAGCCAAAACUUCAAUGCUGAAAACCCCAAUUGUAAAAUAAGCAUGGAUGAUAUAUUUGCAGUAUAAAAUGCAAGUAAAUAUUUCUAGUACAGCAAAUUUCUCCUGAACAAAGUCUGUAAGCGAACACUAACAUUCCCAGAAUCUUUGACGAAUGCAUCGUCGCUGCUGCUUCACUGUCGCCGGCGAAGGAUUUUACUCCGUGGCGGGAAUGGAUAAAGGAGUCCAUAAAUAUCUCUGCCCGGUUCGUAUCCAACAAAAAAAAAAAAAAUUAGUUAGACCCGACCCGGACCAAACCGACCCGAUUAGGGUUUCUUUAGUUAGAUUGAAUACCUUGCAAUUAAAAUGACCUAACGUGAUCGUCGACGUCUGUUGAUGAACCACUGAGGGUUUUGAGGAAUGAAAAUGUUACCCAUUGUGAAUCCAAAGAUGACUCCAGGUGCUAAGGCAAUGACAGCUGCGACCCAACUUAUAACUUGUUCUUCUUCUUCUUCUAUCUCUGGUGAUGGCGGCUCCAUGUCAACGUCUCCGCAGCUUAGACUAAGAGGACGACCACAAAGCCCAAGGUUUCCUUCGAAAGACGAAGCAUCUUGCGUUUGAAACUGUGUGCCUUGUGGUAUUGGACCGACCAGCUGGUUGUGAGAAACAGUGAUGUUAGACAGGCUACUGAGGUCUCCAAGAGAAGGUGGGAUUUGGCCUGAAAGCUUGUUAUGUGAUAAGUCUAGUGACUCCAGUUGAGUAAGAUUAGCCAAAGAAGAAGGGAUGUUGCCAUUGAAACUGUUACUUGACAUAUUGAGCACUAUAAGAUCCUUGAGCAUACCGAUAGAUUGAGGGAUCUUUCCUUCUAGUUUAUUUCCAGAAAAAUCAAUGGCUGCUAGGAGAGUGAAAACCCAUUCGAGUUUCUGCUCUAGUCCUUUACUCAUCAAGACCAUGGAAUAGUGGUAAUAUUCUUCCUGAGAUGCAAUGUAUUUAAAUCGCGAAACAUCUUCACGCGUUAUCAUGUUCCAAUCUGCAAAGUAGUAUGAGGGCAAGCUCCCGGUGAAGUGAUUGUUGGCUAUGUCGAUGAUUUGCAUCUUUGGAAACCCGAAAGAAUGAUGAAGACGGUACAAGAAACCGGUGAAUUGGUUGUUGCGCAGUACAAGUACUUGUAGAUUAGGCAAAGUAUUUAACCAGAAUGGAAAAGUGUCGUUGAUUGUGUUACUUCCCACGUCAAAGACUUCCAAGCUAGAGCAGCUCUUUAGAGACCUUGGAAGUGUUCCCACCAAUUUGUUGUGGCUAACGUCAACUGAAUAUAAAUUGGUAGCAUUGGCAAAUAUUUCUGGAAUAUUUCCACUCAGUUGAUUAUUGCGGAGGUUAAGUACUGAAAGAUAGGUAUUCAGAUUCCUUAAACAUGGAGGGAUUGAGCCGGUGAAGUUGUUGUUCGAUAAAUCAAGGACUUGUAGAAGGCUUUGCUGACAGAUGGAUCGCGGGAUAUUUCCCGUGAAGUUGUUGUUGGAGAGGUCUAAGGUUAACAAAUCUUGUAGUUGUAGGUUUCUUCUUAAGAAAUUUGGGAAUUCUGUGAUACCACAACCUGACAUGAGCAGCCUAUGUAAAUCUGAUGGUAGCUUGGAAACUGAACGCAUAUUUGUUGUUGAAACUUGUACCCCGGAUAUAUGCAAUGUAGAUAGGUCACUGAGAUUUGAGAAUAUGGUAUUCAAAUCAACAGUGUUGGUGGUGUUUAAAUAGCUUAUGUCCAGUUCUGUGAGCCCUUUGAGUUGCGAGAAGAUACCAAAGUCUACUUCCAUCCCCGUGUUAAAAUGGGAGAGAUCAAGCUGGUUGAGAUUGACUAAUCUUGAAAUGGAUUUUGGGAUUGACCCUCUGAAAUGGUUAUGGCUGAGUGAUAAGCUAAAUAGACUAGAUGAUGAAGAGCUAUUCCCAAAUUCAAGAAUAUCGUUGAGUUGAUUGUUAUUUAAAUCAAUAGAAGCCAAAUAAGGAAUGUUGAAGAGAGAACAAGGGAGGGUUCCAUUGAAAGUGUUGUCACUCGCAUGAAAAGUCUCCAAGUUAGAGAGUAAACUCAUAUUUGGAGGGAGUGGACCUGUGAAAUGAUUUUCAGUGAGUGAUAACUCUGACAAUUUCGUAAGAUUGAGAAGUGGAAGAGGAAAGCUACCACUAAGCAUAUUAGAACCAACAUGUAAGCUAGUAAGUUGCUUAAGAUUGGCAAGUGAAGAUGGAAUUUGGCCAUCGAAUCUAUUUAAAUAAAGGUUAAGAUCUGUGAGAUGGAAAAGGUUUCCAAUCGAAGAAGGGAUCGGACCACUAAAAUGAUUAUUUGAAAGGUCGAGAAGGGACAGAUUAGUAAGGUUUCCAAUCGAAGAAGGGAUCGGAGCACUAAAAUGAUUAAUUGAAAGGUCGAGAAGGGACAGAUUAGUAAGGUUUCCAAUCGAAGAAGGAAUCGGACCACGAAAAUGAUUAUUUGAAAGGUCAAGAGCGGAUAGAUUAGUAAGGUUUCCAAAUGAAGAUGGAAUCUUUCCAUGGAAUUUGCAAAACUGAAGUUUCAAAGUAUUCAAAUGUUUGAGGUUCUUAAUGGAGUAAGGUAUUUCACCUAAAAGAGUUAUCCGAGUGAGGUCUAAUGAAACAAGAGAGUUGUUUACAUUAAACUCUGGAAGAGAGCCUUGCAUAUCUUGAUUGCCGUUCAAGUUAAUGAUUUGUAUAGUAGGAAUCAAAAGAAGACUGCUUGGAAAUUUACCAAUCAAGUUGCAAUCAUGAAGAGAUAGUGAUUUAAGAGAGGAUAGGUUUGAGAUAUUUUGAGGAAUUUCUGAAGAAAUGUUAACAAGACCUAGGUAAAGCUCCUCUAGGUUUGUCAAAUUUUGGACAAGUUUGUUAAGAAAUGACUUUUCAGCUGAUAGAGAAAUAGAAUAAAGAUCGAGAGACACUAACUUGGUUAGAUGAAGAAGCUCUGUUGGAACUAGACCUGACAACCAAGAAUCAGAAAGAUUGAGUCGUCUUAAUUCCGUGAGUUUAUUGAAUUGAGUUGGUAUCAUAGAAGACUCGAAAUAGUUGUUAGCAAGGUUGAGGUCACGAAGCUUUUGUAGCUUGAAAAGACUACUAUUGGACUUGAUUUUCCCAUGGAAGCAGCUGCAACUAAGGUCUAGCUCGAUCACUUCGCCAGACUUGACAUCACAAGUGAUACCGUCCCAUGAACAACAAUCACUUUCGUUUGCCCAUGAUUUUGUUUUCGGAUAAGAAAUACUCGAAAAGUAAUCAGUAUAAAGAUUCCGAAUAGUAAACUCGCUCUCGAAUUCAAGAAGGGCAUCCCUUUGGUCAGGGCGGCAUAAGUGCCGUGUAGGAGAAGCGAACGUAAUUAGAAAGUUUGAAAGGAAGAAAAGGAAACUGAUUGAACGAAGAAGAAAGCUCAUUUUUCUGAAUGUUUGAGAACAAAAUCUACUGAUGUAUAAUUCAGUGUUGUGGAUCUUUAAUAUUUGCGUAUGUGUAUAUAUAUACAAACCUAAACGUUUUCCAUGACAUGAGCUCCACAUCGACACCAUAUGAAAAGUCCUUUGUUUGACUGUUUCACCGAAAUAAUUGAUUUUGUUUCCAUUGAUGGUGUGUUUCCAUUUAUCUAGUAGUGGCUCUAUAUGAGAUUUCCAUAUGCACAGGGUCUAUCUCAUUUUGAACACACUACAAAAUAAUCAAAACUGGAAAUGUGAAAUGUCAAAUGUGUCUAUUAUUAAGGUAUGAAUCCUGUAGUGAUUAAUCAACUUCUUGUCGUUUGUUCAUCAAACACGUUUUCCAUGAGUUUUAUUUGAAUCCUGUAGUGAUAAAUCAACUUCUUGUCGUUUCUAUAUAACAAAUGCAUUGUAGUACAUGUUUGAUAUAAUGUUCAGUCUAGGAAUUAUUUGAUGAUGUUUUAUAAUAUUUCGUCCUACUGAAGUUUCCUUUGUUACUCAUCCCAUAUUGCUAGAGAAUUAGGAAUGUUACUGAAUCGUUUGAGCAAGUGUAAAAAUGAACAUUUUAUGAAAUUUCGAAGGUUUCUUGUGGAAACACAAAUGGUUCUUAACAAAAGCUAUGCUAAUGUUGUUAGUGAAAUAGCGUCGGAUAUGAACUAAGUAACCGAGAAGCUUCCCAGCAGAGGAAACAAA
rnacentral:lncRNA from 1 species